rnacentral:lncRNA from 1 species
CCUGAUCCAUGUGAGGAACUUGUGGAGAACCUCAUCACGAUCCCUUUUGAGGAGGAAAAUAAGGAGCGAUCAGUUCAGAUCAGGACAUACAUAGAUGAGAUAACCAACCAUCACCUUGUUAUCUUUUUGUAGGAGAAUGUUGAUGUUUUUGCUUAAUUGAUGGCUGAUAUGUCUGAUAUAGAUCUUAAAGUAAUAGUGCACCGACUGAACGUGGAACCUGAAUACCAACCCA